rnacentral:rRNA from 1 species
GACGAACGCUGGCGGCGUGCUUAACACAUGCAAGUCGAACGGAAAGGCCCUGCUUUUGUGGUGUGCUCGAGUGGCGAACGGGUGAGUAACACGUGAGUAACCUGCCCUUGACUUUGGGAUAACUUCAGGAAACUGGGGCUACUACCGGAUAGGAGCUCCUGCUGCAUGGUGGGGGUUGGAAAGUCUCGGCGGUUGGGGAUGGACUCGCGGCUUAUCAGCUUGUUGGUGGGGUAGGGGCUUACCAAGGCUUUGUCGGGUAGCCGGCCUGAGAGGGUGACCGGCCACAUUGGGACGGAGAUACGGCCCAGACUCAUACGGGAGGCAGCAGUGGGGAAGAUUGCACAAUGGGCGGAAGCCUGAUGCAGCAAAGCCGCGUGCGGGAUGACGGCAUUGGGGUUGUAAACCGCUUUCGCCUGUGACGAAGCGUGAGUGACGGUAAUGGGUAAAGAAGCACCGGCUAACUACGUG